GAAUCAGGACCUUAGGGG
rnacentral:misc_RNA from 1 species